CACUUCUUUCUCCUGCCUUUGGACAUCGGAACUCCAGGUUCUGCAGGCUUUCCAGCCUCUGGACUUAACAGCAGUCUCUGGACUUACAACAGCAGCCCCCUGGAUCCUCAAGCCUUUGGCCUCAGACUAAGAAUUUUAUCAGCAACUUCCUGGUUCUGAGGCUUUUGGGCAGCCAUGCUGCCAGCAUCCCAGCAGUUCCAGCAGAAGGCCUGUUGUGGGACUUCUCAGCCUCCAUGAGCAUGGAUGGAAAAGAACACAUUAGCUGCAUUGAUGGCUGCAUGCCAGGUGCCCAAGGCUGUGCUCAUCUGCUCUAGCAAAGGUAAGCUUGCUUAAAAGAACUCCAGAUGGCCCUGGAGCUGCAGGACCCUUUGCCAAUUAUCAGAGGAAGAUAAGGCCUGUGUGAAACCGGGGCAAAUCUGAACCAGCGACCCCGUGUUACCUUUAGAUCAUUAACAUAUCAUCAUAAUGCUAAAACCUCACACAUAGAAGAUAAUUGCUGCCAUUUUCUGAAUAUACAUUAUAUGAAGAAGCAUGUUCAUGAUCUGCACCUGCACAUCUGGACUUCCUCCCCACACAUUUACGUACCUCCCUGCCCCACAUCUAACUCCUUAAAAUCCCCCAGCUUCUCAUACCUCAGGGAGAAGUAGUCUUUAGAGAAAGAGCUCCCUCCUCCACUCCUGGCCAGGAAUAAAACCUGCUUGCCUUUUUUCCCAAUUAGGUGUUACAGUAGAACUCAGUUACCCUGUAACAAUAAGAAUUGCAUUAAAUCCUUAUAUCAACUUGGGAAGAAUUGACACCUUUACCAUAUUAAGUCUUCUAAUCCAUAAAUAAGUAUGUUCAUUCAUUUUUUUUGGAUUUUUGAAAUUUCUUUCAUCAGCAUUUUGAAGUUCUCAGCAUGUAAGCCCUGUACAUGUUUUGUUGGAUUUAAAUUUAAGUAUUUUGUUUUUUGAUAAAUUGUAAGUGCUACUGUAUUUUAAAUUUCAGUGCCCAUGUGUUCAUUGCUAGUAUAAAGAAAUACAACAUAUUCCUGCAGUCUAGCUGAAGUCACUUAUCAGCUCUAGGAGCUUUUGAUUUUUGUUUUAUUUUUGGUAGAUCUUUGAGAUUUCCUACUUAGAUAAGCAUGUUAUCCACGAAUAGGGACAGUUUUAUUACUACCUUUCUGAUCUGUAUGCCUUUUAUUUCCUUUUCUUACCUUAUUGCAUUGGGUAGAACUUCCAACACUGUUUAACAAUAAUGGUAAGAGCAGUCAACCUUGCCCUUUUCCUGUUUUCAGGGUACAACCAUUCAGUCUUUCACUGUUAAGUAUGAUGCUGGCUGUGGAGUUGUUAUAGAUGCUCUUUAACAAGUUAGGACAAAUUCCCUCUAUUUCUCUUUUUCUGAGCGUUUUUAAAACCAUGAAUGGGUAUUUUGUCAAAUGCUUUUUCUGUAUUGAUUGGUAAGAUCAAUUUUCUUUUGUAUCCAGUUAAUACGUUGGAUUAUGUUGACUGAUUUGUGAAUAGUAAAACAGCCCUGCAUUCCUGCAGUAAGCCUCACUUUGUUACAAGAUCUUUGGGGUGUUGCUUUUCUGGCCAGAAACCUCUGUGGCCAGUGGCGCCUUUGCCCAAGUUUUGUUUGUGCUCACUGGGCU